GAGAGAGAGAGAGAGAGAGAGAGAGAGAGAGAGAGAGAGAGAGAGAGAGAGAGAGAGAGAGAGAGAGAGAGAGAGAGAGAGAGAGAGAGAGAGAGAGAGAGAGAGAGAGAGAGAGAGAGAGAGAACGAGUGUGUAUGAGGAGAAAGGGGCAGAGAGAAAGGAGCAAGAGGACCCAAAGCAGGCUCCACGCAGAAAGCAGCCAACCCACACUUUUUGUUACCUCUCAACUUGCAAAAAUACCCAUUUCGGGGAGCAGUGGGGUGGGAGAACCAGAAGGCAUUACCACGAAUCUUAGUGUUUUCAUUACACAAAGUAUAAGGAUGUGAAAGAAAACACAUCAGCAACAUCUAAGGGACAGAAUUUUCCCAGCAUGGUUCCAGGGGCAAAAGGUCUACUUUCAGUAUCAAAUUGCAUACAGCAUACAGCAAGGUGGCAACUAUCCAAGUUAGGUGCACUGCCAGUGUCUUUAAACACAGGACACCAUUCACUCCGUGUCCCCAUGGAUUUGGCUGGGACCUAUUGCUCUCAAACCUUGUUUGAUCCGUGAGGAGGAGUAAGGCCAUUUUAACACAUUCGAGGGGGUGGCUCCCUACCUGGGAACUGAAUUGAAGGGAUUCAGACUUGGUUUUGCAUUUGGUGAACUUGAGGCCCGGAAUUGAAGGUGUUCUUGAAACACGGUGUUCCUUUUGCCUCUCCCGCCAGCUGCUGCUGGAACAUUUGGAGUUCCUCGUCUCCAGGCACGAGAGAGCUCUUCAAAAAACCAUCAUCGGGCGACAGGCGAAGACUCCGGCCGGCGUGUCCAGUGAGGCAGAGGUGCUCAAGGUCCUCAACUCCAUAUUGGAGAAGGACAAAACGGAGGAUGAAACGAUGUGCCUAACCACGGCGGUUCUCGACUUGUGCACAUGCUGUGCAGAGCCAGAUGAAAGAGCUCCUGGCUACCCUGUGCACUCUCGUGGCCAAGCUGGAAGAUGUUGUCUGACUGCCUCAACAUCCUGCUCUUGGAGACUUUCAGGGAUCCUGCAUGCCCAGUCGUUGCGCCAGCAGGUGAUCGUCAAAGAAACGACUCAAAAAGAACUAAACAGAAUCAGAACCCAGUCCUACACACUUGGGCAGCAGCUCGUGUGGAGACUCUGCCCUCCAGAUCACCACUGCUUUUACCCACGGACAGGAAAAGCUGCAAAGCUGUCAAGUGCCCCAACCCCCCUACACUGUUUGAUGUCAGAUGUUGGGUUUCUUUUGCUACAUUCAGGCUCCCAGAUGUAACUAAAUUGGGUUCUAUUUCUCCAUAACCCACAGGUUUUCCAUAGUCAUAGGACACGAAGCUUCCCUGGGGAAUUGUGCCGGUCACUUCCUUCACAGAUUUAUUUCAUUAUCAUCUGGGACAGAGAGUUGGGACCCAACUGUAUCCCUUCUGAUUCCCUUGAUCUCCUUCUAAACAGGUUUUCCAGUGAGGGACUGAGUUUCCUAGCCUGGAACUAUGUCUCUCUGAUUUUAAUUGUGGAGUCCUGCUACAUUGCCCUAGAUCCAGGGGAACAUGGACAGUGGGUUCUCCAUGGGCUCACCUGUGACACCUCUCUUGGCAAGAGAAGGCAAAAAGUCUUCUGGGAUGGGGCAAGUGUUAUUGGGAGGGAGCUAUCUUCACUUGUGUGCAUGGGGUGUUGGAGAUCAGAGGUCAGAGUCAGGAACCGUGUAACUGUUACUCAGAGAGUGCCCAGCAUUCACAAGCAGCUAACACAUGGUGAUUCCCAAGGACACAUUGCCCUCCCUUACUGAGACCUGUGUGCUUGUUAGCCUGAGGGCUGUUGGUGACCCUGUUCCACAGGCCGCUGUGAGGUAACCACAUGAUGAGAAGUCCAGUGUUGGAGCAUGAGCAUUGUUCUUCCCCAGGUGGUCAGGGCAGACAGUCCAUUCAAAGACUCGGGGACCAGAGCCCAAUUCCACAGACAUGGCUGCCAGCCAGCACAGAGAAGCCAACACUGAGAUAGAUCGCGAGGGCCUCUGCCCACUGGUUGUAAGUGGAAGGCCAGAGCCAGAAGCCUUCCUGCCCUACGUAGCUCAGGAUGCAGUGCGCUUGUGAUCGGUGCUUCCUUUCAUGCCAACCCCACAGACGUUUCCUUCUUACUCUCAGGACACCUAGCUUGCCUGGAAAAUAGUGCUCAUGUCCGCAGUCCCAUUUUAAUUCCAUUUUCAUCUGAACUGAACAAUUUAUGUACCCAGUGUGUUUCUUCUCAGUUGUUAUUCUUAUUUUGAUUAAGAUUAUCAUCAAAAUCAUCAUUGUUAUUUAUUGACCAAUUCCUCCCUGUGGGACUUUGGUGGAAUCAGUCUGGAAGCCUCCCUUUUGAUUUUUAAUUAUAAACUCUUUGAUAGUUUUCCUGGAUGUGGGACGGCUUGGAAAUUUACUGCUUCAUGCCCUCUGGCAAACUUACACUGGCACAGAAGCAGCUACCCCAGUGCAUUGGAAAGCAUUGAGCACAAGACGUUGGCCUGUGGACAGAAGGCCGGAGGGAAAGCAACCUGCCUUUUUUCUAGGGCAAAGGAAAUAUAUCAGCAGGAAGGAGUCAGGAGCAAUGCAGCUGCCACUCAGACAGCAAUCUCUGGCAGCUUCUCUAAUUUCACAACGUAAUAUCCUCCAGAUCCAUGGAUGUAGCUGCAAGUGGCAAGAUUUCAUUCAUUUUGAUAGGACACAGACCUUUCUUCCUGGCGGAAGGUGAGAGGCUGUUCACAGGUCUCUCUCUGAAACGCAGCGAUCCACUGAGGAAAUCCCAGGCAUCUGGGAUCCUUGUGUAACACGAUGAGGAGUAAACACGUCCGGAGGACGUCUGCCGCCAGGGAACUCCAGGGACUCCAAGUUCACCCGGCUUUUUGAAGAAAUCCGAAGGAGGGAAGGAGGAAGUGCAUUUGACUAAGCAAAUAGCUCAACCGGUUUUCAGACACGUUGAGAAAAUACAGAAAAUAACUGGUUUCCUAAGGUUUGUGGCUGCAUAAAGUUUUCUCUUCAUGAAAACAGAAAUUAUUGCUCCAACCUGCCAGCAUACAUCUCCUCAUGGCCUCCAGUGUUUGUUUCUUGUAAAUGAUUACUUUGUUACAAGUAAAAAAUUCUAUUACUGUGAGUUAAACCCGUCCUCACACACGCAACCCACACACAAAAAGGCCACCGGGGUGGCUCAGUAUAAGGGUAAAUAAAUAAAUAAAUAAAUAAAUAAAUAAAUAAAUA
ensembl:lncRNA